GGUUCUAUAAUGUAGCAGUUAGCACAUCUACUUUAUACGCAGAAGGUCCUGGGUACACAUCCCAGUGGAGCUA
rnacentral:tRNA from 1 species